rnacentral:rRNA from 1 species
GUUAACGCUGGCAGCGUGCAUAACACAUGCAAGUCGAACGGGGCUAUCUGCGAUUACAUCAAGGGUAGUCUAGUGGCAGACGAGUGAGUAACACGUAAGGAAUCUGCCCCCGAGUAGGGCAUAACGCGUCGAAAGAUGCGCUAAUUCCCUAUAUUAUCCCCUGGCGGCAUCGCCGGGGGAUGAAAGGCGUAAGCCACUCGGGGUGGACCUUGCGGCCUAUCAGCUAGUUGGCGGGGUAAUGGCCCACCAAGGCUAUGACGGGUACCCGGCCUGAAAGGGCGAACGGGCACGGAGGCACUGAGACACGGGCCUCACUUCUACGGAAGGCAGCAGUGGGGAAUUUUGGACAAUGGGGGAAACCCUGAUCCAGCAACGCUGCGUGAGGGAUGAAGGUCUUCGGAUCGUAAACCUCUUUUCCAGGGGACGAAAUCCCGCAAGGGUCUGACGGUACCCUGGGAAUAAGCCACGGCUAAAUAUGU